rnacentral:misc_RNA from 1 species
AUGAAAUGGAAUGGAGAAUCAUACUGAGCAAUGGAGUAGGCAAAAUUACUUUCUGCAGAAGUUGCGUUGGUCCACGGAGACCUCCUCAAGCUGACAGAAAGUUUUUUAGCUUCUUUGAUAAUGUUGUCAUCUUUUGCAUACCCUGAGAAUUUCCUCACAGCAACACAAUGACUGUCCCAAACAUAAGGUUUCAGAUGCAGUUCAGGAAUAGGGACUGGCGGGUCAGCUUGGAAUUUCGAGGGCAAGUAAAAUAGAACAGAGUAGGCUGA